rnacentral:rRNA from 1 species
UACGGAGGAUGCGAGCGUUAUCCGGAUUUAUUGGGUUUAAAGGGUGCGCAGGCGGAUUCUUAAGUCAGCGGUCAAAUCGUGGGGCUCAACCCCAUCCAGCCGUUGAAACUGGGGAUCUAGAGUGUGCGAGAGGUAUGCGGAAUGCGUGGUGUAGCGGUGAAAUGCAUAGAUAUCACGCAGAACCCCGAUUGCGAAGGCAGCAUACCGGUGCACAACUGACGCUCAGGCACGAAAGCGUGGGUAUCGAACAGG